rfam:Papilio xuthus contig17292, whole genome shotgun sequence.
GCCAACGUCCAUACCACGUUGAACACACCGGUUCUCGUCCGAUCACCGAAGUUAAGCAACGUCGGGCGCGAUCAGUACUUGGAUGGGUGACCGCCUGGGAACACCGCGUGAUGUUGGCU